UACGUAGGAUCCAAGCGUUGUCCGGAUUUACUGGGUGUAAAGGGUGCGCAGGCGGACUUAUAAGUCAGUGGUGAAAUCUCACGGCUCAACCGUGAAACUGCCUUUGAUACUGUAGGUCUUGAAUUAGGGAGAGAUUCGUGGAAUUCCGAGUGUAGCAGUGAAAUGUGUAGAUAUUCGGAAGAACACCAGUCGGCGAAGGCAGCGAAUUGGCCCUAUAUUGACGCUCAGGCACGAAAGCAUGGGGAUCAAACAGG
rnacentral:rRNA from 1 species